rnacentral:tRNA from 1 species
GGGGAUAUAGCUCAGUUGGUAGAGUGCUUGCCUCACAUGCAUACGGCCCUGGGUUCAAACCCCAGUAUCACUA